GAUGAACGCUGGCGGCGUGCCUAAUACAUGCAAGUCGAGCGAAUGGAUUAAGAGCUUGCUCUUAUGAAGUUAGCGGCGGACGGGUGAGUAACACGUGGGUAACCUGCCCAUAAGACUGGGAUAACUCAGGCAAACCGGGGCUAAUACCGGAUAACAUUUUGAACCGCAUGGUUCGAAAUUGAAAGGCGGCUUCGGCUGUCACUUAUGGAUGGACCCGCGUCGCAUGAGCUAGUUGGUGAGGUAACGGCUCACCAAGGUAACGAUGCGUAGCCGACCUAAGAGGGUGAUCGGCCACACAGGGACUGAGACACGGCCCAGACUCCUACGGGAGGCAGCAGUAGGGAAUCUUCCGCAAUGGACGAAAGUCUGACGGAGCAACGCCGCGUGAGUGAUGAAGGCUUUCGGGUCGUAAAACUCUGUUGUUAGGGAAGAACAAGUACUAGUUGAAUAAGCUGGCACCUUGACGGUACCUAACCAGAAAGCCACGGCUAACUACGUGCCAGCAGCCGCAGUAA
rnacentral:rRNA from 1 species